AGUGAACGCUGGCGGUAGGCCUAACACAUGCAAGUCGAACGGCAGCACAGUAAGAGCUUGCUCUUACGGGUGGCGAGUGGCGGACGGGUGAGGAAUACAUCGGAAUCUACUUUUUCGGGGGGGAUAACGUAGGGAAAGUUACGCUAAUACCGCAUACGACCUACGGGUGAAAGCAGGGGAGCUUCGGACCUUGCGCGAUUGAAUGAGCCGAUGUCGGAUUAGCUAGUUGGCGGGGUAAAGGCCCACCAAGGCGACGAUCCGUAGCGGGUCUGAGAGGAUGAUCAGCCACACUGGAACUGAGACACGGUCCAGACUCCUACGGGAGGCAGCAGUGGGGAAUCUUCGACAAUGGGCGCAAGCCUGACCCAGCCAUACCGCGUGGGUGAAGAAGGCCUUCGGGUUGUAAAGCCCUUUUGUUGGGAAAGAACAGCAGCAGGUUAAUCCCCCGCUGUUCUGGCGGUACCCAAAGAAUAAGCACCGGCUAACUUCGUG
rnacentral:rRNA from 1 species